UUUCCGUAGGUGAACCUGCGGAAGGAUCAUUACUGAGCUGUCAUGGGGUUCGAUCCUGGCAGCCAAUUUUUGGAUGCAUGUGCUUGCCCUAACAAUCAUCUUCCAAACACCUGUGCACAUUUUUGAGGGAGUCUUGAGUUGGUUGCCGCUCUUGGGUGAUUUUCUCACAUUCCCUUAAAUCAUUAUACGCUAUUAACAAUGUUGAACGUGCUCUGUGCCGCAAGGCUAUUAAUAUAAUACAACUUUUAACAACGGAUCUCUUGGUUCUC
rnacentral:misc_RNA from 1 species